GACGAACGCUGGCGGCGUGCCUAAUACAUGCAAGUCGAACGCUUCUUUCCUCCCGAGUGCUUGCACUCAAUUGGAAAGAGGAGUGGCGGACGGGUGAGUAACACGUGGGUAACCUACCCAUCAGAGGGGGAUAACACUUGGAAACAGGUGCUAAUACCGCAUAACAGUUUAUGCCGCAUGGCAUAAGAGUGAAAGGCGCUUUCGGGUGUCGUUGAUGGAUGGACCCGCGGUGCAUUAGCUAGUUGGUGAGGUAACGGCUCACCAAGGCCACGAUGCAUAGCCGACCUGAGAGGGUGAUCGGCCACACUGGGACUGAGACACGGCCCAGACUCCUACUGGAGGCAGCAGUAGGGAAUCUUCGGCAAUGGACGAAAGUCUGACCGAGCAACGCCGCGUGAGUGAAGAAGGUUUUCGGAUCGUAAAACUCUGUUGUUAGAGAAGAACAAGGACGUUAGUAACUGAACGUCCCCUGACGGUAUCUAACCAGAAAGCCACGGCUAACUACGUG
rnacentral:rRNA from 1 species